rnacentral:rRNA from 1 species
UACGUAGGUGGCAAGCGUUGUCCGGCUUUAUUGGGUUUAAAGGGUGCGUAGGUGGUCUAUUAAGUCAGUGCUGAAAUAUCCCGGCUUAACCGGGAGGGUGGCAUUGAUACUGAUGGACUUGAGUGGAGUUGAGGUAGGCGGAAUUGACGGUGUAGCGGUGAAAUGCUUAGAUAUCGUCAAGAACACCGAUAGCGAAGGCAGCUUACUAAGCUCUAACUGACACUGAGGCACGAAAGCGUGGGGAUCAAACAGG